rnacentral:tmRNA from 1 species
GGGGACGAAAUGGUCUCGACGGGCAGCGAAGAGGGAUGGAACCGCAUGCCGGGUUUUCUCGCUACCCCGUGAUAAGCGAGAGCACUCUUAAGUGCCGAUUAUAACUACGCGAUGGCUGCUUAAUCAAAGCAACCCGUUCACUGUGUCCCGCGCCUGUCCGGGACGCGGAUGAGCGUCGCUUUUGACAGGCCGGUUUACAGAGUCGCCCGGACUGUGUAAACCCGACUCUUCCGGGCUCGCCCUCGCCAGGCUGGCUGAACUGCCUGCUGAUGGUUAAACUUUAACCGCUCAGCUAAGCAUGUAGAAGUUCUGUCAAGCUCCUGCUCGGACCCGGGUUCAAUUCCCGGCGUCUCCACAA